rnacentral:rRNA from 1 species
GAUCCUGGCUCAGGAUGAACGCUAGCUACAGGCUUAACACAUGCAAGUCGAGGGGCAGCAUUUUAGUUUGCUUGCAAACUGAAGAUGGCGACCGGCGCACGGGUGAGUAACACGUAUCCAACCUGCCGAUAACUCCGGAAUAGCCUUUCGAAAGAAAGAUUAAUACCGGAUAGCAUACGAAUAUCGCAUGAUAUUUUUAUUAAAGAAUUUCGGUUAUCGAUGGGGAUGCGUUCCAUUAGUUGUUGG